UUACUACUCCCUCCGUUCCUAAAUACUUGUCUUUGUAGACAUUUCAAAUGACUACUACAUACGGAUGUAUGUAGACAUAUUUUAGAGUGUAGAUUCACUCAUUUUGCUCCGUAUGUAGUCACUUAUUAAAAUGCCUAGAAAGACAAGUAUUUAGGAACGGAGGGAGUAUAAG
rnacentral:pre_miRNA from 1 species